UAGCGAGGCCAUGGGGGAAAAAGUCUAACUGGCGGAACUCCUGGGAACUGGGGCGAUGGGCUCUUAGUAUCGGAGGAUUGGAACCAUCUGAUUUUUACCUGAAAUUCCUUAGUCUCUCCUGUGUUGGGGAAAUGGUCACCUUGCCUUCAGGGACCUGGGCUUUCAGCUGUCCAUACCUGGCCCUGGUUGAUGGCGGCAUGCUGGGCAGUGCACGUGAAGACGCACAUGAGACCGGGACUUGCUGUGGUGCCCAGGCUGGUCUUGAACUCCUGGUCUUAAGCAAUCAUACUGCUUUGGCCACCCAAAGCACUGGGAUUACAGGCGUGAACCACCACACCCAGCUCUUAAAACCACAGUAUUUCUAGCACAGGACUGCACCAAGGGGCAACGCAGUACUGCAGCCUUCCUCUGACUCAGUUUGGAUUCUCUCUGUCCGUUCUCACCACACUACUAAGGAGAGAACAGUGCCAGGCAGGGGAAGGAGAGGUACCUGAAGUUCUUUCUCCAGUUGAGCACGAAGCUCUUCCAUCCCCGAGGGCAGCACUAGCCUGGAGGGCAGAGAGGUCGAGCGUCUCAACAGCAUGGGGUUGGCACCAUUGAGGAACUGGUAGCCGAACAACUCAUCAUCCUGCCAGCACUGGCGAACCUUCUCUUUGGUGGGCGGUGAAAAGAGGAUAUAUGUACCACAGCCUGCAUAUCCCUUCUCCAAAGUCUACCCCAGGGGUUCAGGUAUAUAACCCUCCCUGAACCCAGCUUCUGCGUUUUCAUUCUCAAGGCCUCUCUGAGUUGACCAGAUAUGAUAAGGUCUCUUCUUGCAAAGAGUUACGGGGGACUGUGGAGGGUGAUGAGUCAUCCAGAGGGGCCAUUAAGGGAUUAUGGAGACCUGGGGGAACCACUGACCAGCCAGGGCACUCUUCUGGCCCCAGAAGAUCUGAUCAAAGUCUUCUAGGCAGUUCCAGGAGCUCAGGAGGGUGUAAACACGUUUGAGGGCCAUCUCCAGAGCCCUAGGACAGGUAUUGAGGCUUAACUCAUCAGCUGAUCCCUCAGUCCCUCACCGUCUAUCAUCAUUCUUGGCCCUCCCAGCCCUUAUUUCACUCCGAGGUCUAGCCUUUUUCUCACCCUGCCUUCAGUGUCCAUUCAAAGUCCAGCCUCUUCUCCUCAUGGAAUCUCAUAUUUGGAGGUAGAUCAUCCUUACGGUCUGCAGCGAUGGUCAGGGGUAACCCUUCCUUCCAGGUGGCCCAGCUAGGAGUUGGGGACAAAGCUUCAGGAAGGAUGUCAUGGUCAGUGAUGGGGGCAGGGGCAGGGGCAGGGAAGGGGUGGGACAGUGGUGGCGGGGUUAGUUUAAGGGGCGGGUGGUCACCAGUAGAUCUGCUGUCUGUCUUUCAGUUCCUUCUCUCGAUGCUUCUGGAACACGUCCAAAGCAUUGUCUCCUGGCAGGCGGGCUGGGGAGACAUCAGGACAAUUGGCCUCACGGCUCUGUCUGGUCCUAUGCCCGCCUGUUGUCCUCAUCUCCCUGUGGUUAGCCGUAUUCCAUGUUUUCAGCCAUGCACUGUUGCUUUUAUCUCUGGCUUUGCCUCAUUUGAUUAUCCACCAGACAUGUUUAUCCCAUCUUUGCCAACUUUGCACUCCUGCUUUCUCUUAUUUCAGCCCUCAUCCUUUGCCUGUAGAUAAAAACCUCCUGUUUGCCACCAUUCCUUGCUCCUUCACUCAUCUUCCCCUACCUGGCCUUACUUCAUCAAUAUCUAUGGUUGGAAAAAAUCACCUUAAUUAAGAUGAUGAAAUCUUAGUCACCUAUACACCUACACCUACUGUCUACUACAGAUUGCUUUGAUUAAUUUCACAUCUUAAACCUCACCUGCCACACCUUCACCUGUCCUCAAAAGAUUCUACAUUUGCUUUUUUUUUUAAACCUCAUCUUUCUGGAUUUACUAUCAUAAUCUGUAUCUAUGGACUUAUUCUGGGUCUUUUCUGCAUUUACACUCACCUGUCUCAAAGUCAUAGAUUUGAUGUUCCAUCCCUACUGCCCUCACUCAUCUCUGGAUUCAUCUCUCUUUUACUCGUUACCCAUGGUUAAAAAUUCACUAUUUGGGCCGGGCGUGGUGGCUCAAGCCUGUAAUCCCAGCACUUUGAGAGGCCAAGGAGGGCGGAUCACGAGGUCAGGAGAUCGAGACCAUCCUGGCUAAUACGCCCCGCAGCAGUUCCCGGGACCUUGUGCCUCCUUCCCCGACGCCGCCUGCUCACCGGUGCCCUCGGGCAGGCUCAGGAUGUCCUCACCCUGCACCCAGCGGUAGCACGGGAAGGCCACCUCCGCGCAGGCUCCAGGGCCCUGCACCGUGAUGCGGUCGCAGAACCACGCGUCGUCCACCAGCCAGUGGUGCUUGCGCAGCCUCACGAACUGCAGGAGCCCCAAGUCCUCUGCAACGUCAUGAUCAAACUCCUCCUCCUGUGCAGGCCGGACCCAGGCCAGACUUAGUAGGAGGGGCCCGACUGAGGCCGUUUCGAGGACAGAGCCGCGACCCUGCGCAACCUUAGUUUCUCAGGGCCUCCAAAGACAGCAUCGCCUCGUUCCCGCCCCCGCACAACCUGCUCUUUGGGUCUCAGACGCCCGGAGUCGGGUGGAGGACGAGGGCCCACAGCGCCUGGAGCUGAUGCUGGAGCAGCAUCGCCCACGUGGGUCCCAUUAACUGAGCUCUCCCCGCGCCGGUGCUUGGAGGAGCUUCACGUCUGAUCUCUGGCCUCAUACUUACAUUGGCUCUGGGUCACUGGGAGAAGGAGCUGGGGGCUGCCGGGACCAGGGGCGGGAAAGGGAGAUGGGGUUGAGCCCAGCCGGGGAUCCCAGCUGCGGACCCUGUCCCUGAUCUUGCCCACCUCGUCCCAACUUCGUGGAAGUCCCAGUCCGCGAGGUCGCGCUGUCACCUCGCCCCCAGCCUCCCGCCCUCCCGCCGCGAGCCCAGCUCGGCCCGGGCCUGGGCCCGCGGUCCCCGCUGCCCCAGCUCCCCUCGCUCCCCGCGCUGACCUCGCCCCGCGCCGGCCGCAGCUGCAGCUCCAGCUCCGCCUCCCCGCGCGCCCCGACCAGCCAAAGCUGCACGCGGUUGUACGACCCGGAGAAGAGCCAGGCCCCGGUGGCCACGCGGAUGCGGUAGCGGCCCAUGGCGCCCCCCAGCAGCUUAGGCGAGGGGAGCCGGGUCCUGUGCGAUUCCCGGGACCGCCCAGGGCUGCCGGCGCCUCGGGGCCACUUCCAACCUUUAAAGGACCGGUCUGCGGCCCCGCCCUCCUCGCAAGUUUUAGGCGCUCCCAAGUCCCCGCCCCAGACUAGCCCAAACCUGCGAGCAGAGCGGUAGAGCCGGCUGCGGGGACUGGCUGUGCCUCCUGGUCGGAGCGUAGCUGCAGGAUGAUAAAGGGGCCCGAGCCAGGGUGAGGCCAACGGGGUGGGUGCGGCGGGACCUUCCUGGACCUCCCGGGAAGGCGGGAUCGAGGUGGGCCUGAGCCCCCGGGUUGGAGCGAACAUAGAUGAGAACACUUCCCGAGGUCUCCAGGUCUUCUGGGGAGCCAGGAGGAAGUAGGGGAUGAGUCCAUCUUCCAAACGGAGGGGAAGGUCUCCGCUUUUCUGGGCUGGGACCCGGGGAAGGCAGUGGGCCGGCUUCUGGAAGGUCGGCCUGGGAGGCCGUGCUGGGGUCUGGGGAUGUCCCGCGGCUAGACCCGGCGCGGCCCAUGUGUCCUCCAGUACCUGAGCUCUACCGCCCUUGAACGCUGUACUUCCGUCAACGACCAGGGGUUCCCCAGGCUACCUAGAACCUGGAAAUGUAGCAGCUCGACACCCGCUCCCCACCCCGUUUCAAAUAUCUGGGCGCUGGGGUCCCAAUGUACACCAAAUAUCAUGGGCCAGACCUUUGAGAGAGGCCUGAGGCAGGGCAGUGAAAAACUCAUUUUGUCCAACCUCCGAAGCGGGUACAGACAAUGUUAGGGACCCAGGAACACCAGUCGGGGUGUUAGGGUGCGGGAUGGAAUUGCCUAGGGACCUGGCCUACGUGGCCAGUUCCCAAGAACUUUGUCUUUUCCAGGUGAGUGCAGCCUCUUCCGCUCCAGUCGGUUCCAAAUUAAUGUUUUAUCCCCAAGCUCUUUCCUGCUCCUUCAUGGGUCUCAGGUCUCCUGGAAAUCCAGGAACAGCAAUUAGCCCACUGCUAUUUAGGGCCUUUGUAAACAUUGAAGGAUGAUUCGGAGCUUAGGCUUUCUCUCCCGUGCAGGAAUCAGUCAGAUGAAGCCUGCUGCACGCGUCCCUGUCUAGAUCUUGAUCCAAGUGAUUAUAUGCAUUUGGCUCUCCGUGGAUGCAUCUGGUGGCCUGGGCUAGGCCAGUGUAAGGUAAAUCUGCUUUCUUGAGCCAGUCCUCAGAAAUGACUUUGUGGCCUAGUUGUUGGUAGAGGUAAGUGAGUGGGAGUUUUAGCCCCGCCUUCCAGCCUCCAGAUCAGACUCUAUCUCAAAAAAUAAAAAUAAAAAAAUAAAGUGUCUGUCCCUUACUGGAUUCAAUUCCCUUUCUUAUCUUCUAGGUCCACUCUGGCCUACAUCCUCUGCUCAGGACUGCAGGUCGGCCAUUUGCUGGUCCCCGGUUCUUUCAGUUUUCUGGGGUCACCCUAUUCUGUAAUAUCCAAAUAAAAUGGCUCAAAUUCC